rnacentral:misc_RNA from 1 species
GAUGAAGAACGUAGCGAAAUGCGAUAAGUAAUGUGAAUUGCAGAAUUCAGUGAAUCAUCGAAUCUUUGAACGCACAUUUCGCCCGCCAGUAUUCUGGCGGGCAUGCCUGUUCGAGCGUCAUUUCAACCCUCAGGCCCCCAGUGCCUGGUGUUGGGGAUCGGCCCAGCCUUCCUGUAAGGCCGCCGGCCCCGAAAUCUAGUGGCGGUCUCGCUGUAGUCCUCCUCUGCGUAGUAGCACAACCUCGCAGUUGGAACGCGGCGGUGGCCAUGCCGUUAAACACCCCACUUCUGAAAGUUGACCUCGGAUCAGGUAGGAAUACCCGCUGAACUUAAGCAUAUCAAUAAGCGGAGGA